GAUGAACGCUGGCGGCGUGCCUAAUACAUGCAAGUCGAGCGAACAGACGAGGAGCUUGCUCCUCUGACGUUAGCGGCGGACGGGUGAGUAACACGUGGAUAACCUACCUAUAAGACUGGGAUAACUUCGGGAAACCGGAGCUAAUACCGGAUAACAUGUUGAACCGCAUGGUUCAACAGUGAAAGACGGUCUUGCUGUCACUUAUAGAUGGAUCCGCGCCGCAUUAGCUAGUUGGUAAGGUAACGGCUUACCAAGGCAACGAUGCGUAGCCGACCUGAGAGGGUGAUCGGCAACACUGGAACUGAGACACGCUCCAGACUCCUACGGGAGGCAGCAGUAGGGAAUCUUCCGCAAUGGGCGAAAGCCUGACGGAGCAACGCCGCGUGAGUGAAGAAGGUCUUCGGAUCGUAAAACUCUGUUAUUAGGGAAGAACAAAUGUGUAAGUAACUAUGCACGUCUUGACGGUACCUAAUCAGACAGCCACGGCUAACUACGUG
rnacentral:rRNA from 1 species